GGACGGCUCACUGUCCCUGCCAAAAAAGAGCUCACCACCCUGUCCACCCUGUGCUCAGAUUCCUCAGCCAGACACCUAUUGGGACACAGGACACUGGAAUCCACCCAGUUUAACCAAGAAUAUAACUAUUUAUUAUAUGGCCAAUGGCACAUUUAGUGAGCCAGACCUAUGGCUAUGAAGAUUUUAAAACAAUGAGUCCACCUUGAUUCAGCCAGGUGGUACAGUGAUUAAGACUGCAGACCCUUGCUGGUGAGAACAUGGAGGAAUUGGUACCCUGAUAUAUUGCAGACACUGCUACGUGAACCUGGGAAAUUGUUUCAUGUUCAGGAAUAUGGAUGAGAAGUGUCUGUGCUUAAUAGCAUUCUAAAAAGC